GUAAUGCGUGACCGACCUGCCCCAUACACCGGAAUAGCUCCUGGAAACGGGUGGUAAUGCCGGAUGCUCCAGUUGAUCGCAUGGUCUUCUGGGAAAGCUUUCGCGGUAUGGGAUGGGGUCGCGUCCUAUCAGCUUGACGGCGGGGUAACGGCCCACCGUGGCUUCGACGGGUAGCCGGCCUGAGAGGGCGACCGGCCACAUUGGGACUGAGAUACGGCCCAGACUCCUACGGGAGGCAGCAGUGGGGAAUAUUGCACAAUGGGCGCAAGCCUGAUGCAGCGACGCCGCGUGAGGGAUGGAGGCCUUCGGGUUGUAAACCUCUUUUAUCGGGGAGCAAGCGAGAGUGAGUUUACCCGUUGAAUAAGCACCGGCUAACUACGUGCCAGCAGCCGCGGUAAUACGUAGGGUGCAAGCGUUAUCCGGAAUUAUUGGGCGUAAAGGGCUCGUAGGCGGUUCGUCGCGUCCGGUGUGAAAGUCCAUCGCUUAACGGUGGAUCCGCGCCGGGUACGGGCGGGCUUGAGUGCGGUAGGGGAGACUGGAAUUCCCGGUGUAACGGUGGAAUGUGUAGAUAUCGGGAAGAACACCAAUGGCGAAGGCAGGUCUCUGGGCCGUUACUGACGCUGAGGAGCGAAAGCGUGGGGAGCGAACAGGAUUAGAUACCCUGGUAGUCCACGCCGUAAACGGUGGAUGCUGGAUGUGGGGCCCGUUCCACGGGUUCCGUGUCGGAGCUAACGCGUUAAGCAUCCCGCCUGGGGAGUACGGCCGCAAGGCUAAAACUCAAAGAAAUUGACGGGGGCCCGCACAAGCGGCGGAGCAUGCGGAUUAAUUCGAUGCAACGCGAAGAACCUUACCUGGGCUUGACAUGUUCCCGACGGUCGUAGAGAUACGGCUUCCCUUCGGGGCGGGUUCACAGGUGGUGCAUGGUCGUCGUCAGCUCGUGUCGUGAGAUGUUGGGUUAAGUCCCGCAACGAGCGCAACCCU
rnacentral:rRNA from 1 species